rnacentral:tRNA from 1 species
GAAUAGUUCAGUUGGUUAGACAAGGUGCUGAUAACACCAAGGUUGCAGGUUCGAUCCCUGUAUGCGACA